UACGUAGGGUGCAAGCGUUGUCCGGAAUUAUUGGGCGUAAAGAGCUCGUAGGCGGUCUGUCGCGUCGGCUGUGAAAACCUGGGGCUCAACCCCGGGCCUGCAGCCGAUACGGGCAAGCUAGAAUUCGGUAGGGGAGACUGGAAUUCCUGGUGUAGCGGUGAAAUGCGCAGAUAUCAGGAGGAACACCGGUGGCGAAGGCGGGUCUCUGGGCCGAAAUUGACGCUGAGGAGCGAAAGCGUGGGGAGCAAACAGG
rnacentral:rRNA from 1 species